UCUGGGAACUGAGAUGUGUGAUUUGAUUGGUUUUAUUUCUCUUUAUAAUUAUGAGAUUAGUUGUAUGAUAAAAUGGUUGUGUGGGUUCCACGAUCAGGCUAAAACAGCAUCUGUUGUUUUUACCUUAUUUCAAGACUCAUAUGGUCCUUCUCCUCCCAGCCAAUCAGAAUGCAUGAAGUGUCCUCCAUUUCAAAGUCGAAAAGCUGUCAUGUCAGAGCACAUUUGGAAAUAUAUACGAUAGUUCAUUGAAAAAGUAAAAGAGGCAUGAAAACCCCGAGUCUACAGAGCAGAUAAAGGCAAGUGGGCUUUUGCGAGCCCAUCAGCAAGCCCGUUGGCAGAUCGUGGAAUAAAAACAAUACGACAAGAAGCAAAAGGCGAUGAAAAUGAAAAACUAGAGAGUCAAUGUCAGACAAGAUCCCAAAGAGCUCGAUCGUCCAAAUCCUCUUGUUGAUAGCUCCAAAAAGCACUUGAGAGUCUGUUCUGAGACAGAUGUUAGUGUAGUUGAGUGAGGCUGCGUGUAACAGAGCUCCUCGGAUGACCAAAGCUUCAGCCAUGCACGGGGAGGAGACGAAAUGCAGAGAGAGGGCUUUGCGGCCUAGCUCUGCUUCCGAUUGGGUAGAGAAGAUCCAUGCUAGUCCCGCUGAUUGUGCUUUCCAAGACGCGUCCGUGUUGCAGAAGAUGGUGGGUUCCGUCAAGGGCCGGUUGUGAUUGAUGUUGAUGUGAGGCUGUGGAUCCUUCGCAGCGGGGGCUAAAGGUUGGACAUUUGAUAUGAAUCCAAAUCAAGCUGACCCGUUGUCCAUUACAAGUUAAUAGUUGGCGUAUAUAUAUAAAUUUCGAGUAGAAUAUAUAUAGAAAAGAAAAAAAAAGAGUUUAAACAAAAUCAAACGUGUAGUAGGCCAAUUGUCAAAAUGCUCAAAUAUUUCUUUUUUGUAAUAAAAUUUGGGAAAAGAAUGUCAUUAACGUCUUCUUAAGUUACAAGUAUAUCAAGACGCAUGCUUGAGCCACUUCUGUGAGUGCUUGACUGAAGCUAUUCUCUUGAUGGUCUGGUUAAUUCUGGUUGUCAAGAAUCGCUUGGCUAGGAGUUUAAUCUUGAUGUCUCUUGUCCUAUAAUGUCUAUUGAUUUCAAAGUUCACUAGUGUUAACAAACUUUGAGUUAAUCUCCUUGUGUCUUUGGAGUUUUUUUAAAACUUUUUGGGGCUCUAAAAAAUUCAGAAUGGCUGUAAAUUAGAAUAUGGUUGUGAUUCAAUUGUAAUCAAACCUUCAUUUUUACUAAUGACAUUUACAAUUUAGAAAAAAUUAUAUUUAGAAAUGUAAUGCAACAAGCGAAUGUAUAAGGUUUGUUUCUUUUUGUUCCAUGGACAUAUGUAUACCCGAAUCACCAUAUCAAGAGUUUAUUAGUAGAGUGA